AGAGUUUGAUCCUGGCUCAGGAUGAACGCUAGCUACAGGCUUAACACAUGCAAGUCGAGGGGAAACGACAUCGAAAGCUUGCUUUUGAUGGGCGUCGACCGGCGCACGGGUGAGUAACGCGUAUCCAACCUGCCCAUCACUUGGGGAUAACCUUGCGAAAGUAAGACUAAUACCCAAUGACGUCUCUAGAAGACAUCUGAAAGAGAUUAAAGAUUUAUCGGUGAUGGAUGGGGAUGCGUCUGAUUAGCUUGUUGGCGGGGUAACGGCCACCAAGGCGACGAUCAGUAGGGGUUCUGAGAGAAGGUCCCCACAUUGGACUGAGACACGGUCCAAACUCCGACGGGAGGCCA
rnacentral:rRNA from 1 species